rnacentral:rRNA from 1 species
AUGGCCGCCACCGCCGCGGCCACCGUGACGGCGACGGCGACGGCGGCGGCGUCGAGCUGCAGCAAGCGCGAGAGCGCCGGCAUUGCGGCGCCCGCCGACUUGGCGAAGAAGGCGAAGAAGGCGAGGUCGCCGCCGGCGGAGGAGAUGGAGGGCUUCUUCGCGGCGGCGGAGGGCGACGUCGCGCGGCGCUUCGCUGCCAAGUACAACUAUGACGUCGUCGCAGACGCUCCCAUGGACGGGCGGUACGAGUGGGUCCGACUGAGGCCGUAG